UACGUAGGGUGCGAGCGUUGUCCGGAAUUAUUGGGCGUAAAGAGCUCGUAGGCGGUGUGUCACGUCGGCCGUGAAAACCUGCAGCUUAACUGUGGGCGUGCGGUCGAUACGGGCAUCACUGGAGUUCGGCAGGGGAGACUGGAAUUCCUGGUGUAGCGGUGAAAUGCGCAGAUAUCAGGAGGAACACCGGUGGCGAAGGCGGCAUCCUGGACCGGCAUUGACGCUGAGGAGCGAAAGCUAGGGGAGCGAACGGG
rnacentral:rRNA from 1 species